UUCCAGACUCCUACGGGAGGCAGCAGUGGGGGAUAUUGCACAAUGGGGGGAACCCUGAUGCAGCGACGCCGCGUGGGUGAAGGAGCGUUUCGGCGCGUAAAGCCCUAUCGGCAGGGAAGAAGGAGGACGGUACCUGACUAAGAAGCCCCGGCUAACUACGUGCCAGCAGCCGCGGUAAUACGUAUGGUGCAAGCGUUAUCCGGAUUUACUGGGCGUAAAGGGAGCGCAGGCGGCGCGCCAAGUCUGAUGUGAAACCCCGGGGCUCAACCCCGGGCAUGCAUUGGAAACUGGCGGGCUGGAGUGCCGGAGAGGUAAGCGGAAUUCCUAGUGUAGCGGUGAAAUGCGUAGAUAUUAGGAGGAACACCAGUGGCGAAGGCGGCUUACUGGACGGCAACUGACGCUGAGGCUCGAAAGCGUGGGGAGCAAACAGGAUUAGAUACCCGCGUA
rnacentral:rRNA from 1 species